rnacentral:rRNA from 1 species
CAACGCGAAGAACCUUACCAAGGCCUUGACAUGCAGAGGACUUUCCAGAGAUGGAUUGGUGCCUUCGGGAACUCUGACACAGGUGCUGCAUGGCUGUCGUCAGCUCGUGUCGUGAGAUGUUGGGUUAAGUCCCGUAACGAGCACAACCCUUGUCCUUAGUUACCAGCACGUUAUGGUGGGCACUCUAAGGAGACUGCCGGUGACAAACCGGAGGAAGGUGGGGAAUGACGUCAAGUCAUCAUGGCCCUUACGGCCUGGGCUACACACGUGCUACAAUGGUCGGUACAAAGGGUUGCCAAGCCGCGAGGUGGAGCUAAUCCCAUAAAACCGAUCGUAGUCCGGAUCGCAGUCUGCAACUCGACUGCGUGAAGUCGGAAUCGCUAGUAAUCGUGAAUCAGAAUGUCACGGUGAAUACGUUCCCGGGCCUU